GGACCUACGGGACGCAGCAGUGGGGAAUAUUGCACAAUGGGGGGAACCCUGAUGCAGCGACGCCGCGUGGGCGAGGAAGUAUUUCGGUAUGUAAAGCCCUAUCGGCAGGGAAGAAGAAAUGACGGUACCUGGAUAAGAAGCACCGGCUAAAUACGUGCCAGCAGCCGCGGUAAUACGUAUGGUGCAAGCGUUAUCCGGCUUUACUGGGCGUAAAGGGAGCGCAGGCGGCG
rnacentral:rRNA from 1 species